rnacentral:pre_miRNA from 1 species
AUGUGUAUCACCUGGGGAUCUUGCUAAAAUGCAUAUUUUUAUCUGGUAAGUCUAGAAGGCUUGAGAUUGUGAAUUACUAUCAAGUCCUCAGAUGAUACCUAA